rnacentral:tRNA from 1 species
GACUCCGUAGCUCAGUGGGAGAGCACUUGCUUGACAGGCAAGGGGUCGCUGGUUCGAAUCCAGCCGGAGUCA